rnacentral:rRNA from 1 species
UACGAAGGGGGCUAGCGUUGUUCGGAAUUACUGGGCGUAAAGGGCGCGUAGGCGGUCCUGAUCGUCGGAUGUGAAAGGCCUGGGCUCAACCUUGGAAUGGCAUCCGAUACGGCGGGACUGGAGUGUGGGAGAGGUUGGUGGAAUUCCCAGAUGUAGAGGUGAAAUUCGUAGAUAUUGGGAAGAACACCAGUGGCGAAGGCGGCUAACUGGUCCAGCACUGACGCUGAGGUGGCGAAAGCGUGGGGAGCAAACAGG